rnacentral:tRNA from 1 species
CCGAUAGUAGCUUAUUUUAAAGUUUUGGGUUCUUACCUCAGGGAUGUAGCGGUGGCUACCUGUUGGA